UACGGAAGGCAGCAGUGGGGAAUAUUGCACAAUGGGCGCAAGCCUGAUGCAGCCAUGCCGCGUGUAUGAAGAAGGCCUUCGGGUUGUAAAGUACUUUCAGUCGUGAGGAAGGUGUUAAGGUUAAUAACCUUAGCAAUUGACGUUAGCGACAGAAGAAGCACCGGCUAACUCCGUGCCAGCAGCCGCGGUAAUACGGAGGGUGCGAGCGUUAAUCGGAAUUACUGGGCGUAAAGGGCACGCAGGCGGUUAAUUAAGUUGGAUGUGAAAUCCCCGGGCUUAACCUGGGAAUGGCAUUCAAGACUGGUUAGCUAGAGUCUUGUAGAGGGGGUAGAAUUCCAUGUGUAGCGGUGAAAUGCGUAGAGAUGUGGAGGAAUACCGGUGGCGAAGGCGGCCCCUGGGACAAAGACUGACGCUCAUGUGCGAAAGCGUGGGGAGCAAA
rnacentral:rRNA from 1 species